GCCUUCGUGGUGUAAUGGUCAGCACACUGAGCCGGUAUUUCAGAGGUCCGUGGUUCGAUCCCCGGUGAAGGAA
rfam:Stegodyphus mimosarum contig41818, whole genome shotgun sequence.